UUUUUCCCAAAUUUUUGGGGUGAAAUUCCCAAAUUUUUUAGGCGUCUCAAGGAUGUCCCCGAUUGGAGCUUCGCAGACGGACGCCCCUCCCCCCCCUGGAGGGGACAAAUCCGGAGACGCCGCGAGAACGGAGAAAUUGUGCUCCGCAUCCGCGCCCUCAGCAAAUCCCUGGAAAUGGCGAAGAAAACAGAGAGAGGUGAAAAUGGGGAAAAAAUG